AUUCAAAGCACGCGAGACCUUACCAAAUCUUGACAUCCUCUGACCCCUCUAGAGAUAGAGUUUUCCCCUUCGGGGGACAGAGUGACGGGGGGUGCAUGGUUGUCGUCAGCUCGUGUCGGGAGAUGUUGGGUUAAGCCCCGCAACGAGCGCAACCCUUAAGCUUAGUUGCCAUCAUUAAGUGGGGCACUCUAAGUUGACUGCCGGAGACAAACCGGAGGAGGGGGGGGAUGACCUCAAAUCAUCGUGCCCCUUAUGAUUGGGGCUACACACGUGCUACAAGGGAAAAUACAAAGGGGAGCGAAACCGCGAGGUCAAGAAAAUCCCAUAAAGUUGUUCUCAGUUCGGAUUGGAGUCUGCAACUCGACUAUAUGAAGCUGGAAUCGCUAGUAAUCGUAAAUCAGCGUGCUACGGAGAAUACUUUCCGGGCUCUUGCACA
rnacentral:rRNA from 1 species